GUCCACUUAGUCAUACUGCUCUGCUCAAAGCAAGGAUCCCAGACACUCUGCCCAUCCCUCUGGAGGACAGACAAUGAGAUGUCAAGAUCCUGGAACCCAGUGCUGUUUGUGCCAACCAGUUGAUGGAGCCUGUACAAAUCUUCCCUUAGGAGCGUGAGAGGACCUGCAAUCUUAGAGACAAGAGUGCUUUCUUCUCCUAGGUAACUGUAGUUGCCUCAAGAUAGGUAAGUCUCUGGCUCCUAAUCUAGCCCUGUGCACGCAGCUACUGGGCAUUCUCUAAGAUGGACUAGGCACCCAGGCUCCUCCCUCCAUGUGGAGAUCCUGAGUCUGAGAAUGGGGUGGGGGAACAGUUGCUGUUUCUAGGUUCCUCUCCCUUGGUUUUGAAUGAACCCACAGAGUAGUAAAGCCUGGUCAGGUGAUUCCCUACUUUAAAACCUUUAAGAACUCUUCAUUGCCUCCAGAAUAAAACUCAAGUCCCCAAGUAUGGUUCAAGGUGCUCAGGAAUCUGAUGCCCCUGUCCUUAUCUCUCAUCACUGCCCAAUCCCACCCAACCCUGGUGACUCUCUCAAGCCUCAGGAACUUUACUUUGGAAGUUUUUGCUGGCUGGGACAUCCUUCUUCACCCAGAGGGUCCCAAUUUCAAUACUGUCUUUGUCAUAAAGCUGUCCCUGAGCUCUUCCUCCCUACAAAGCAUUUACAUCAGUACUUUUACAAUUAUGUUAUAUUGUAGUUUUGUUUCCCAUCAGCAUAUUAAUUAGUGUGUGAAACUGGAAGGCAAGGACUGGCUCUUGGAGACUCCAGUGUAUCCUCAGCAUUAUUACAGAGCCUGGCACAUAGUAGCUACUCGACAACUGCUUGUGAACCCAAACUAAAAAAACCCAAGCUUGAUCUCUCUCCUCAAAAAUGCCCUUCUAAGCUUAUACAGCUUUAUAUGCUUAUAAUCAGUUUGCAAUGCUAUUUUUGUCUUUUGCUUUAUUCAAUUACUAUUUUAAAUAAAUAUUUCUGACAUACUGCUGUCACUUCAACAGUAUGCAGUUUUCUAGCAAUAGAGGCUGAAUGGCGUCUCAGUGGUGAACUCUGAUGCUAGAGUCAGAGACCAGCUGGGGAAGGUUUGCCCUGUUAUUUAAGCGCCAUGUGGUUAAUUAAGAGCCCCAUACCAUGCCUUAUGCAUCUCUUCUACCUGCCUAUUCUUGAGUUAUAUCUUUUUAUAAUAAACCAAUAUAGUUAAAAAAAUAAAUAAAAAGACUAUGUGCCCUUAGGCAAGUGACAUCAUCACUCCCUGGCUCAGUCUCUUCAACUGUAAGAUGUGGUGAUAACAGUACUUACUUCAAAGACUCAUUGUGGGGAUUAAAUCCAGUAAAGUAUAUCAAGGGAGUGGUCAAGAAGUUACAGUAACUGGCUAAACCACAUUUGCUUGGGCCUCUUUGGCUUGUUUCAGCUGUUCACUCUUCUGAGGAGUGUUCAGAGGACAUUGGAAUGUGGUUAUUUCCAUCCCAGACACUACAGACACUGAAUCUCUGAACCAACCUGGGACAUUCAGUGCCUAGCAAUGCCUAAAACUUGGUAAUAAACCACCGGAAUGUAUCAUUCCUCCUUUUAUAGCAGUCCCCCUCCCCAAAUCCCCUUUUAUAGUUAAGAGCCCAGACUUGCUGUCACAUCAGCAUCUUCCCCAAGUCCUGACCACAGCCUGUCUCUCGUUCCUCCUCAAUACCUCUUAGCCUGUCUCCCUUCCCUCCUUUUCCAUGGCCUAGUCCAGGCUCUUCACUGGGCACCUGUAGUACUAAGUCUUUCAAUGAGAUUUACUGAGCCAUUAUUAUACUCUAGGCCAGCUGAGAAUCCAAUAAAUGAAACUGACAAGAUCCUCAAGGAGCUUGUUUGACGAACAAAACAAAUAAGCAAAAUAAAUGUGUGUACAAAUUAAAUAUUACAUAUAUUCCCCCAGUUCUCCAUUCCUAAUAAUAUAGCUAAACAUGGGGUCCUUCUAGGCAUUAGGCACUGUGACAGGUGUCUCACAGACUGUUCUAAUUCUUCUGACACUGGAAGAAUGUUACAGGUCACAUUUUUCUCUUACAGGACACUGAAGUCGAGAGAGGUCAUCUGGUCCAGGUGGAAGCCAGACACUUGCCCAGGACUGCCGACUAUGAAGUCCCUGCUCCUUCCACUGCACUACACUGUCUCCUCCAGCUUGCCUCAUUGUGGCCGAUUCACUGCAGCCAGAACUGUCUUACAGUGUGUGUUAAACAGAACAGGACUCACAAAUGUUUUUUGGUUGAAUGGUCAUGCCUGAAUACAAGAAUUAUUUCUGGAGAUUAGUACAUCUUUACUUUUGCAAAAUUAAAACCAAGUAGCUCUGCAAGAUUCUCUUGCUUUAAGAGCCUAGAAAACUGA